CAGUCGCCGCGGUAAUACAGAGGGUGCGAGCGUUAAUCGGAUUUACUGGGCGUAAAGCGCACGUAGGCGGACUUUUAAGUCAGGGGUGAAAUCCCGGGGCUCAACCCCGGAACUGCCUUUGAUACUGGAAGUCUUGAGUAUGGUAGAGGUGAGUGGAAUUCCGAGUGUAGAGGUGAAAUUCGUAGAUAUUCGGAGGAACACCAGUGGCGAAGGCGGCUCACUGGACCAUUACUGACGCUGAGGUGCGAAAGCGUGGGGAGCAAACAGGAUUAGAUACCCGUGUAGUCCCUGUCUCUUAUAA
rnacentral:rRNA from 1 species